AGACCCGAUCUAUUUUUCGGGUCGGGUCGGGUCCACCCAAUCUUGAUCCGGGAUCCGACCCGACCCGUUAUUAUAUAAAGCUAAAUGCCUAAAUCCUGCCUUCUCGCCUUCGGCCGCCCACGUGGUCCUACUCAGGCGCCGUACUGCAUUCUCCAGUCCACUGUCCAUUCUCCAUCAGUCCGUCGUUGUCCGUCUCCAUUCUCUCGAUCUCUUCUCUAGAGACUUCUUCCCUGGACGCUGGUUCUCUUCCCCUGUUCCACUUACCAUCCGAUCUUUCAUCCUUGAGGGUUUUGAGGUUCUUCGGUUCUUCCAUCCACCGAUCACUAUAGGUACUCCAUGAGUCUGUCCAUCUCUAUUCUCUUCUCUAGCAACUUCUUCUCUGGUUCUCCGCCACAUUCCAUCUAGUCUUUGAGAGUUUUGAGGUUCUUCAGUUCUUCCAUCCACCGACCCCCGUUCCUUAGGGUUUCCAGGUUUUCUUCUAUUGACUAAACUACUAGCCUACCCAUUCACACCUUUGCCGCUUCCAUCAACUGAUCAACCAACUCCGAGCGGUGAGAGCCUGAAAUCUUGCUGCAUGAGAAAGAUUGACCUCUAAGGCUCUAAAUCCCUCUAGAUCGACAGACUCCGAGCUUCUUUCCUCAACGAUCUAGUCUUCCUCAAACCCUAACUCCCUCAAAAGUUAAAACCUCCAUCAGCUUCUUCAAGAUACCUCAUCUCAAAGACUAAAACCCUUUCUAUUCCGAUUUCUCUCCUCUGUCUCUUGAUUUUCCAUCCUUUCAGCAAGAACUAGAGAAUCUCCAAGGAAGAGAAGAAGAAGAUGCACGUGUGGUGUGGAUCCCUCUGCGAAGAAAAACUGGUAAGAGUGGUGCUGCAGCAGCCACUGUGGCUCCUUCCAUUUCCACUGCCCUGCAGCCCAAAAAACCAAAAGAAAAAGCU